rnacentral:rRNA from 1 species
GACGAACGCUGGCGGCGUGCUUAUCACAUGCAAGUCGAACGGAAAGGCCCUGCUUUUGUGGGGUGCUCGAGUGGCGAACGGGUGAGUAACACGUGAGUAACCUGCCCUUGACUUUGGGAUAACUUCAGGAAACUGGGGCUAAUACCGGAUAGGAGCUCCUGCUGCAUGGUGGGGGUUGGAAAGUUUCGGCGGUUGGGGAUGGACUCGCGGCUUAUCAGCUUGUUGGUGGGGUAGUGGCUUAUCAAGGCUUUGACGGGUAGCCGGCCUGAGAGGGUGACCGGCCACAUUGGGACUGAGAUACGGCCCAGACUCCUACGGGAGGCAGCAGUGGGGAAUAUUGCACAAUGGGCGGAAGCCUGAUGCAGCAACGCCGCGUGCGGGAUGACGGCCUUCGGGUUGUAAACCGCUUUCGCCUGUGACGAAGCGUGAGUGACGGUAAUGGGUAAAGAAGCACCGGCUAACUACGUG